GAUGGAGCAAGCACAGUACUCCAUGACACCAGAGGGCUACUCCACAGUACCGUGUGUAGGACUCCUACAAAGGGCAAGAAGGCAGAUCGUGGCGAAGUUUUAGCUCUGCAGCUGACGGAAGAGAAUGUCGUGCUGAGGGAACAGCUACAAUUGGCAUCAGAUGAACGUUGGCCUGCAGAGAAUGUCUAGCUGAGGGCACAGCUGGCUCUACAAUCAGGUCCAUGUCAUUCACUUAAUUUGCGCCACAUGGGCACAAUGAGUGAAGAACUGCACGAGCUGUCAAACAAGAUGGCCACAGUGCUUGCUUAUGUCCAAGCAAAUGGCUCGGUGGGGGAGUUGUCGUUCCCCACUGUUCAGGGUAUACAGCUACCCUUGGACAACCUGGAAGACUUGCAGCAGUUUGACUCACAGCUGAGACAAGACACAGACGUUCAGGACAGACUGGUUCGAUGUUUGGCUGUUAAAGCUGGUAGGGAGCUGAAAUACACGGUGUGGCGGAUGCUACCGUGUAUCAUUACAAAUGCCCUCGCCCUCUUGAUCACCUGGACUGGAGCUGGGAAAAAGGCCAGCUUUAGGGACCUUUUCUUCGGGA